ensembl:misc_RNA Y_RNA Y RNA
GGCUGGUCUGAAGGUAAUGAGUUAUCUUAACUGAUUGUUCACAGUCAGUUACAGAUCAAACCCCUUGUUUUAUUCUCCUCCCUUCUCACUAGUGCACUUGACUCAUCUUAA